GACGAACCGUGCGAACGUUGUUCGGAAUCACUGGGCGUAAAGGGUGCGUAGGCGGGUUUUUAAGUCAGGGGUGAAAUCCUGGAGCUCAACUCCAGAACUGCCUUUGAUACUGAAGAUCUUGAGUCCGGGAGAGGUGAGUGGAACUGCGAGUGUAGAGGUGAAAUUCGUAGAUAUUCGCAAGAACACCAGUGGCGAAGGCGGCUCACUGGCCCGGUACUGACGCUGAGGCACGAAAGCGUGGGGAGCAAACAGGG
rnacentral:rRNA from 1 species